ACUUACGCAUUACUUUAAUCAAGACUUCGACAUAAACUCCAUACGUUUUCUGUCAAACUCUUUAUUAAAUUUAAG